CUACGGGUGGCUCCAGUGGGGAAUCUUGGACAAUGGGCGCAAGCCUGAUCCAGCCAUGCCGCGUGAGUGAAGAAGGCCUUAGGGUCGUAAAGCUCUUUCGCCAGAGAUGAUAAUGACAGUAUCUGGUAAAGAAACCCCGGCUAACUCCGUGCCAGCAGCCGCGGUAAUACGGAGGGGGUUAGCGUUGUUCGGAAUUACUGGGCGUAAAGCGCGCGUAGGCGGAUUAGUCAGUCAGAGGUGAAAUCCCAGGGCUCAACCCUGGAACUGCCUUUGAUACUGCUAGUCUAGAGUUCGAGAGAGGUGAGUGGAAUUCCGAGUGUAGAGGUGAAAUUCGUAGAUAUUCGGAGGAACACCAGUGGCGAAGGCGGCUCACUGGCUCGAUACUGACGCUGAGGUGCGAAAGUGUGGGGAGCAAACAGGAUUAGAUACCCGGGUAGUC
rnacentral:rRNA from 1 species